GUGCCAGCCGCCGCGGUAAGACGAAGGAUGCAAGCGUUAUCCGGAUUCAUUGGGUUUAAAGGGUGCGUAGGCGGACCUGUAAGUCAGUGGUGAAAUCUCUCAGCUUAACUGAGAAACUGCCAUUGAUACUGCAAGUCUAGAGUAUAGAUGACGUUGGCGGAAUAUGACAUGUAGUGGUGAAAUACUUAGAUAUGUCAUAGAACACCGAUUGCGAAGGCAGCUAACGAAACUAUAACUGACGCUGAGGCACGAAAGUGCGGGGAUCAAACAGGAUUAGAUACCCCCGUAGUCC
rnacentral:rRNA from 1 species